rnacentral:rRNA from 1 species
UACGAAGGGACCUAGCGUAGUUCGGAAUUACUGGGCUUAAAGAGUUCGUAGGUGGUUGAAAAAGUUGGUGGUGAAAUCCCAGAGUUUAACUCUGGAACUGCCAUCAAAACUUUUCAGCUAGAGUAUGAUAGAGGAAAGCAGAAUUUCUAGUGUAGAGGUGAAAUUCGUAGAUAUUAGAAAGAAUACCAAUUGCGAAGGCAGCUUUCUGGAUCAUUACUGACACUGAGGAACGAAAGCAUGGGUAGCGAAGAGGAUUAGAUACCCUCGUAGUCCAUGCUGUAAACGAUGUGUGUUAGACGUUGGAAAUUUAUUUUCAGUGUCGCAGCGAAAGCGAUAAACACACCGCCUGGGGAGUACGACCGCAAGGUUAAAACUCAAAUGAAUUGACGGGGACCCGCACAAGUAGUGGAGCAUGUGGUUUAAUUCGAAGAUACGCGCAGAACCUUACCAACACUUGACAUGUUCGUCGCGACUCUAAGAGAUUAGAGUUUUCGGUUCGGCCGGACGAAACACAGGUGCUGCAUGGCUGUCGUCAGCUCGUGUCGUGAGAUGUUGGGUUAAGUCCCGCAACGAGCGCAACCCUCACUUUUAGUUGCCAUCAUUAAGUUGGGCACUCUGAAAGAACUGCCAGUGAUAAGCUGGAGGAAGGUGGGGAUGACGUCAAGUCCUCAUGGCCCUUACGUGUUGGGCUACACACGUGCUACAAUGGUAUCUACAACAGGAAGCAAGACUGCGAAGUUAAGCAAAUCCCUAAAAGAUACCUCAGUUCGGAUUGCACUCUGCAACUCGAGUGCAUGAAGCUGGAAUUACUAGUAAUCGUGGAUCAGCGUGCCACGGUGAAUGCGUUCCCGGGUCU